ACAGAAAUAACAAAAACAAAGUAAAAUCUCCCUGCAUGCUAUUUUGUACAUUUCAGAGAACAGUGUUCUGAGUACUGCAUGGCAGGAUUAUAUUAUCUUAAUAAAUACAUCCUUAAAGAAAAAAGAAAGUGUUUAAAUAUACGUUACUUUUAAUAUUUUAUAUCAUUUUCUUGAGAGGCUUACUUCUUAUUUAAUUGUGGUGAAAUCUAGGUGUCAAAAAUUAGAAUUUUAAAAAAGAAACGUGAUUGCUGUCUCUUCAUCAAUUAUGACAUUCAUUUCCAUUCUCACUACCAAGGGGGCUCAUGAACUACAUGGAGUAAUGCCCUCUGUUCCUGGUGGCUCCUCAAUCAACAAGGCACAAGGAUUAAAGGAAAAUACUCAUCUUGGGAAGUUCAUGGGAACAUGAAUAAAUUGAAGUCAUCCUCUGCUCUACAAAGACAAUCAGUAGAAGUUAUACGCUGCUGCUUCUGAAGAUUUUGCCCAAGGAUGUAAUGAGGCACAGCAUUACUCACUUGAAGUUGUAAGUCCGACUGGUGUUGCAAAAGGAUCUUCCAAAAGGUGCUGCAUCUGUCUUAGACACACAGAUUUUCAAGCAGCUAAACAAUAAAAAAAAAUCAACAAGAAACUGUGAGUAAUAUGUGACUUGCUGUAACCUGGAGCCAUGCACACUAUUUAAUCAGCAAAAC